UUGAAUUUGGGUUGCGUGGGGUUAAAAACUAUGUAUUCGGUCAAAUUUUAGUAAAACCUUGUAUACACUUCAAAGGCCACAUUUUUCACCCAAACAUACUGGUAUUUUGUCAGAAUGUUUGUUUCCAUACAACUACCGGUACUACAAGGAACUACUGAUACUGUUGCUCCUCCUCUGUCAUGGGAAUGUCUAAGUCUUUGUAUUGUGAUCUCAGGCUAGCGAUAUAGGGACUAUUGGCUCUCUUGUUAAAUAAAGCUUUGUUUUUCUAGAAAGAGUUGAGGACAGAGACAACUCCUGGUGGUGCUGCCACAUCGACUGCGACUACCCAUAGAAGUUCCGCUAGGAGCCCAAACCAUAGCCAGGCUCAGAGUGCACCAGACAAUAUCAUGGUAGAUGUUUCGAGGUUUGGACGGAGGAGGGUACCAAAAAGAUUUGAUGAAUAUAUUAUGUAAAAACAAUAAAAAUAAAAAUAAAAAAUGAAGUUC